rnacentral:rRNA from 1 species
AUUGAACGCUGGCGGCAUGCCUUACACAUGCAAAUCGAACGGUAACGGGCCUUCGGGUGCCGACGAGUGGCGAACGGGUGAGUAAUACAUCGGAACGUGCCCGAUCGUGGGGGAUAACGAGGCGAAAGCUUUGCUAAUACCGCAUACGAUCUACGGAUGAAAGCAGGGGACCGCAAGGCCUUGCGCGGACGGAGCGGCCGAUGGCAGAUUAGGUAGUUGGUGGGAUAAAAGCUUACCAAGCCGACGAUCUGUAGCUGGUCUGAGAGGAUGAUCAGCCACACUGGGACUGAGACACGGCCCAGACUCCUACGGGAGGCAGCAGUGGGAAUUUUGGACAAUGGGCGCAAGCCUGAUCCAGCCAUGCCGCGUGCAGGAUGAAGGCCUUCGGGUUGUAAACUGAUUUUGUACGGAACGAAAAGCCUUCUUUUAAUACAGGAGGGUCAUGACGGUACCGUAAGAAUAAGCACCGGCUAACUACGUG